rnacentral:rRNA from 1 species
GAUGAACGCUGGCGGCGUGCCUAAUACAUGCAAGUCGAGCGAAUGGAUUAAGAGCUUGCUCUUAUGAAGUUAGCGGCGGACGGGUGAGUAACACGUGGGUAACCUGCCCAUAAGACUGGGAUAACUCCGGGAAACCGGGGCUAGUACCGGAUAACAUUUUGAACCGCAUGGUUCGAAAUUGAAAGGCGGCUUCGGCUGUCACUUAUGGAUGGACCCGCGUCGCAUUAGUGAGUUGGUGAGGUAACGGCUCACCAAGGCAACGAUGCGUAGCCGACCUGAGAGGGUGAUAGGCCACACUGGGACGGAGACACGGCCAAGACUCCGACGGGAGGUAGCAGUAGGGAAUCUUCCGCAAUGGGCGAAAGUCUGACGGAGCAACGCCGCGUGAGUGAUGAAGGCUUUCGGGUCGUAAAACUCUGUUGUUAGGGAAGAACAAGUGCUAGUUGGAUAAGCUGGCACCUUGACGGUACCUAACCAGAAAGCCACGGCUAACUACGUGCCAGCAGCCGCCGUAA